rnacentral:rRNA from 1 species
UACGGAGGUGGCAAGCGUUGUCCGGAUUUAUUGGGUUUAAAGGGUGCGUAGGCGGCCCUGUAAGUCAGUGGUGAAAUGUUUCAGCUCAACUGGAAUUGUGCCAUUGAUACUGCGGGGCUUGAGUACAGAUGAGGUAGGCGGAAUUGACGGUGUAGCGGUGAAAUGCUUAGAUAUCGUCAAGAACACCUAUAGCGAAGGCAGCUUACUAGGCUGUAACUGACGCUGAGGCACGAAAGUGUGGGGAUCAAACAGG